GUGUAAAGGGAGUGCAGGCGGGAAGACAAGUUGGAAGUGAAAUCCAUGGGCUCAACCCAUGAACUGCUUUCAAAACUGUUUUUCUUGAGUAGUGCAGAGGUAGGCGGAAUUCCCGGUGUAGCGGUGGAAUGCGUAGAUAUCGGGAGGAACACCAGUGGCGAAGGCGGCCUACUGGGCACCAACUGACGCUGAGGCUCGAAAGUGUGGGUAGCAAACAGGAUUAGAUACCCUGGUAGUCCACACCGUAAACGAUGAUUACUAGGUGUUGGAGGAUUGACCCCUUCAGUGCCGCAGUUAACACAAUAAGUAAUCCACCUGGGGAGUACGACCGCAAGGUUGAAACUCAAAGGAAUUGACGGGGGCCCGCACAAGCAGUGGAGUAUGUGGUUUAAUUCGACGCAACGCGAAGAACCUUACCAAGUCUUGACAUCCUGCGACGGUGCUAGAAAUAGUAUUUUCCUUCGGGACGCAGAGACAGGUGGUGCAUGGUUGUCGUCAGCUCGUGUCGUGAGAUGUUGGGUUAAGUCCCGCAACGAGCGCAACCCUUAUGGUCAGUUACUACGCAAGAGGACUCUGGCCAGACUGCCGUUGACAAAACGGAGGAAGGUGGGGAUGACGUCAAAUCAUCAUGCCCUUUAUGACUUGGGCUACACACGUACUACAAUGGCGUUAAACAAAGAGAAGCAAGACCGCGAGGUGGAGCAAAACUCAGAAACAACGUCCCAGUUCGGACUGCAGGCUGCAACUCGCCUGCACGAAGUCGGAAUUGCUAGU
rnacentral:rRNA from 1 species